rnacentral:lncRNA from 1 species
AUGUCUCUUGAAACUUCGUUGAGAGGUGAUGCAAAACAUUCUGCUCAGUGCCCUGCAAUUGUUGCCUCUGGGGCUUUGCUAUCCUCGAGAAAGUUGGGGAAUUCCAGGCUGGAAAUAUUCAGAAAACCAUUAGCUAGCUGUCAUAGUGGGGAGGUGGAGGGCAAGCUAUGCAGAGGUCACAGAUCAUCUGAGGCGUUGCUUCAGCGUCUGAGCUUGCUUCCCACACACCUCUUUGAAGAGUGGUUCAUUAACCGGGCAGGUGAUCACUGGUUUUGGAGCCUCUUUUUCUCUUGCUCAACCUUGAAAGAGCUGGGUUCCAAUGACCAUCCAACUCGCCAGCAGGGUCCUGCCUGCCCAUCUGAGGACAUGCCUGCUCAUCACCCACGUGCAUCCUGUCACAGUGGGACUGCGUGUGUUCCCUGCUCAUUGUCACUUCCACGGUUUUGCUGAGUCUAUGCGAUUCUUCCAGGCCACUCCAAGUUCCACCUCUUCCACGAAGCCCUCCUUGAUUGCUGGGCCCUGGUUGAACUUAUUAUUAGUAACACCCAGGUUACUUCUACUUAAUUCUUGCCUCCAGCCAAAGUGGACUUAGAACCUCCUUGCACGCCUGGUAAAGUCGUAUAAAGUCUGCUGGGUAUAAAGCAGAAGCAACACAGUGUCUGGUUUGAAGCUUAGCGCUUGGGUUCAGACGGUUGUGGGUUACAAUCCCUUCUACGUGUGUUGCCUGUGGAAACCCUUUGGUUCUCUGUGCCUGGAGCUCGCCUGUAAUGGGACAAAACCAUCUCACCUAGAUUGUUGUUCUGAGGAUUGAAUUAGGUGAUUCUGAGAGGAGUGUAUGAGUCUUCCCUGAUUAACAAUCCAUGAAAAGUGGGCGUCAUUGCUGAAGCUCACGGAAGAAAUAUGAAAUUUGAUGAUAUCCUGAUUCAUGGCAUUGGGUCACCACCUCAGCAGUUUUUAUGAAAGUAGCGUCUGACCUGGCAAAGGCUGUGUCAUCUUAUUAUCUCAGAAAGGCAAAUUUACGGGGUCAGAUGAUGGACGGCCAGGUUUCAGGCUUGUAGAUUUCUCAAUGGGGUGGAAGGAAGGAGAGAAAAAGAGAGACAGGAGAGAGUACACACUUAAUUCUACUUCUCCUAGGGUGAUGUUUCCUUCUUCCCCUUCCAGAGUUCUCAAAAAGGCAUUCUAGGAAGUCCUGUAAAAUACAUGCUCAUACAACAUCUCCUAAUUUCCACAAAUUGUUGAGGAUUUAAAAACUCAGUUGGGGGUUUGCUGUUCUAGCCUGAGACACCAGGGUCACGUUUCAGUGCUUGUGGUCUUGAGACAGUACCAGGCAUCUGGGAUGAAGUUGGGGAAGGAAGGUCUGGUGACCCUGCUGGCCUGCCUCUCUUGAAAGAUGCCUACUGGCUGCUGGCUCCAUCACUGGUGUGUCACAGGGCUUUAGGAUUUGGAAAAGCAGAGGAUGUAAAACAAGACAGAAUGGUCAGAAUUUAGAGAACCAUGUGCCGAAGUGCCAUCUUUAGGGUGCUCAUAACACGACCCUACGACAUCAGAGGUGCUGGAAUCAUGGAAGAGGAAUCCAGACUCUGUAAUCUUCUUCCCCCGGGAAAAUCUGCUCCAGAACUGGGGGAUUGGAAGCUGUCAACACAUGAGCCAUCUUCUGCUCCGUUCAAGAUGGUAGGGGCGUUCUCGACUCGCCCCUCCCUCUGAUUCUGCCUCACUUUUAUUUUAGAAUUUUCCACUGCCUCUUCUGGAAUGUGCUUUUUCACCCCUCGAAAUCUGUAGAGAAGAAAUAAGCAGAAACUGAAAUGGCUUUCUGGUGUUAAAUGCUCUCAGCUUAGUGGAAAAUCGAGCGUUGGGCUCGAGGCUGGACUUUUGCGGAGAGCACUGCAAUAGUGCUGUGGCCUUGCCUUUCUUCUCAUCACCCGGAUACAGUCCUGCAGUCCUCAGAGGAUGCCAGUCCCACACAGGGGGCUCCUCCUCUGCAGGAAAACCGAGGAACAAUGCAGGUUCGAUGUGUAAGAUGGCUAAGCACAUUCAAUCAUCGAGAUCUUUCCUCCCAAACCCUAAUGCUACCUCAAGAUGGGCUGCUGCCUGCUACCAUUUCAACAUCGAGUCCUUUAAGAUGCCACCUGAGAGAGAGACGGGAAGCGAGAGGCCAAGAAAAAUGAAAGGUAAGCACGAGACCAGUGGAAUGAGUGGGGAGAUCUGUCUGUCUGUCUGUCUGUCUGUCCGUCUGUCCGUCUGUCUGUCCGUCUGUCCGUCCGUCUGUCUGUCUGUCUGUUUGUUUGUUUGUUUGUUUGAAGUGUCUUCUGCUUGGCUGAGGUUAUCGCUCCUCAGGGGAGGGGGAAGUGCUUCUCUUCUCGUCUCUGAUCGCUCCGCAGCUCUCAGGAAACUUUGACAAACACGUCGCAGCAGCGAGUGGAAACACGUCUGAGACGCUGCAGCGUAGCCCGGCGGGUUCUGUUCUUAGCAGUAUUUGCUAAGUUCCAUCCAUUCGAGUGUUUUUAAACAAUGGGAGGCAUGUCAUCUUGAUUUGACAGGAUAAUCCUGAGUUUAUAGAAUUUCAUCACAGUGUGUGAAACUGGUUUUUCACUUCACUAUACUGGCCCUCAGCGGUGGAGUAAACUGGGCACUGAAUAGAACAAAUCUCCCUCCUCCGUGUUGUCCCCCAGCCCACCAGCGUUCGCCCUAAGCUCUGCCCUGCACCAGCGCCAGCCUUCUAUUGGAGAUUGGCAGCUGCGGCCACCGCUGGCCAUCUCUCAACCACUCCACAAUAUGUAUCAGUGUGUUCUACAAAUCAUUGUAUUUGCCAAGCGUGAAUUCAGAGCAAAGUGUAGACCUCGUUUGGAUCCCAGUUGAGGCAAGCAAAUCUUAAAAUGUGCAUGAGACUGUUGGAGAAAGGCAAACACAGAUAGGAUAGGUGUUGACAUUAAAGAAAUCUUAAUUUUCUGUGUGUGGUGAUGGUAUUGUGGUUAUUUUAAAAAGGGAGUGUCAUCCAUGCCUUUUGAUGUUAUAUGUAUUUUUAAUUACAGAUUAACAUGAUUUUCCAAAUGUGCUUCAGAAUAACUCACGGAAGUAAGUGAGCGCAGGAAUACAAAAUAAUAAAUUUAGCUACAAGGUGUUUAUUGUUGAAGGUAGGCGAUGGGCAUGUGGGAAUUUUUUAUAUAAUUCUCUGUACUUUUGUUCCUGUUAGGAACUUUCCAUCAUAGAAAUUAAAAGAAGAAAUGAGGUAGGACAACUGGGAUAAGCAGAAGACAAGGGUGGACUCACAGCCUCUCCUCCACAGAUGCUGCGGGGCCAGGGUGAGCGUCAGCGCCCUGAGUGCCUGCUCUGAGGCUGGAGCGGCUGGCUUCGCUGCCUUCCUGUCUGAGUGUAGCAAGAGGUGGAGGGAGGACUGGGGUGCACCUUCUGCAGGGGACAAUGCUUUGGACACAGCAAACGUGCAGAGCCCAGUGCCCUGUGUGGGGACAGAGGAGUGUGGGUGUCACAAAAGGAGACCACUUUUCCCUUCUCUUGGGAUCCUCCUUCACUGGAAAAUUUGGGGCAAUGCACACGCCUAACCUCCCUCCGCUUUCAUGGCCUCAUGGAGAAAAGGGUUCCCUCCCCCAUUCACACGUUUGUGGUCGUGAUCACGGUGAUUUAAUGCACUAGUUUGCUUUCCUGAUAGGAGGACAUAACGGUAGAAGGUGAGAAGGGCAAUUCUACCAUCUGGUAAGAAAAAAUGAGAAAAGGGGGUAACAGAGGCAGUUGUAUGAAAAAUCAGAACUACUAAAUAAUCCACAGCCAAUUUGCUGUGGCAUCCAACUGCAAUCCCCAAGACGAACGUCCAAAAGCCACCAGGAGGCCAACCCCCUCAUUUGCUUUCAUUAGAAUUUUUCCUUUUUCUUUUUUUCUUUCUUUCUUUCUUUUUUUUUUUUUUUUUUUUUUUGGAGACAGAGUCUCUGUCUGUCACCAAGGCUGGAGUGCAUUGGUGUGAUCUUGGCUCACUGCAACCUCUGCCUCCCGAGUUCAAGUGAUUCUCCUGCCUCAGUCUCCCAAGUAGCUGAGAUUACAGGCAUGCACCACCACGCCCGGCUAAUUUUUGGUAUUUGUAGUAGGGACAGGGUUUCACCAUGUUGAUCAGGCUGGUCUCAAACUCCUGACCCCAGGUGAUCUGCCCACCUCGGCCUCCCAAAGUGCUGGGAUUACAGAUGUGAGCCGCCUUGCCUAGCCUUUCAUUAUAAUUUUUCUAAGAAUUGACAUUACUUUAGAGUCUUCCCUAAUCAAAACUAAAAUAACUUUUAGAAUAACGGCAAAUUACCUCCAAUAGGGCCUGGAUGAGAUGAUGGAACGGGGUACAGAAAGAAGAGAGAAGCUGGGCCUCCAGGAGACCCUCAGCCCAGGACUGAGGAGUGUCAGGCCCCGGUGUGUGUGGUGUGUGCUGGGGUGUGGCGGGU